rnacentral:tRNA from 1 species
AUUUAAGUAGUUUAAUUUAGAAUAUUAAUUUGUGGUGUUAAAGGUAAAUUUUGUUUCUUAAAUC